rnacentral:rRNA from 1 species
UACCAGCUCUUCGAGUGGUGUGGAUGUUUAUUGGGCCUAAAGCAUCCGUAGCUGGCUGGGCAAGUCCCCUGUUAAAUCCACCGAUUUAAUCGUUGGAGUGCGGGGGAUACUGUUCGGCUAGGGGACGGGAGAGGCAGACGGUAUUUUCGGGGUAGGGGUGAAAUCCUAUAAUCCCGAGAAGACCACCAGUGGCGAAGGCUGUCUGCUAGAACGCGCCCGACGGUGAGGGAUGAAAGCUGGGGGAGCGAACCGGAUUAGAUACCCGGGUAGUCCCAGCUGUAAACGAUGCAGGCUAGGUGUUUGGACGGCCACGUGCCGUUCUAGUGCCGCAGGGAAGCCGUUAAGCCUGCCGCCUGGGUAGUACGGCCGCAAGGCUGAAAACUUAAAGGAAUUGGCGGGGGAGCACCACAAGGGUGAAGCUGUCGGUUU